GUUAGUCUUUGCUGAGAAGCUCUGUGUGCAUAUUGGGGCAUAUCUUCAACACUCAGUCAGGUUUUUCUCAAAUCUGCCUUUGCCUUUACUUCCUGUUUGCAUAAAGCCACAAGAUUAUUCAGUGAUGAGAAUUUAGGACCUUCUUAUGUCUUUCCUAAGAAGGAGAGAACACUGUCUGCCUGUGUGUGGCCUUCAAGAUUCCUGGGAAUACUGCUGAGUUUUUCAAAGCCUUAGGAACAUCUAAUUUCCAGCUUUUACUUUUAAGCUUUUUGUUUAUACUAUUGUUUGAUAGAAAUAUUAUCCACUGCCUUAGGACCAUAAAGUUAAACAAUAAUUCCCUGUUGUGUUUCUUUGUUUGUUUUUACCAACUCCUCCCCUCCCCUACCUCCAGGAAAAGGCUGUUCAUGCUGGGUGAGCUCUAAGUCAUGUCAGUAUAGAUAGCUUUGCAAGUGGGGUCUUCCAUGAAAUUACCAGGUAAGUCAGACAACGGUAAUUAUUUGGGAAUGAGCUCUAACCGUCUCUGUUGUCUCUAGUGCCUGCACUAUUGUUGCUUUUUACUGCAAAUGUGGGCUAUUAUUUUUCAAGGCUACCCCACAGCUGGAGAACAAGUGAUGAGAAUAAAGCUAAAAAGCAAAAAAAAAAAAGCCAUAAGUUCUUCCUAAGAUUCAGUCACUUUUCUUGAAUGAAUACUCCCUGAGUUACUACAAGACUUUGGUUAAUUUCUAGAGUUCUCAAAUAGGUGGAUUCUAACUUUAAAAAUAUUUUUACUCAUUGGUUUUGUGGAAGAAAAUAUUUAUCUUUUAACUUUCAUUUCAGGUUCAUUGGUAUAUGUGCAGACUUUUUCUAUAGGUAAAUUGCUUGCUGUGGGAGUUUGGUGUACAGACUUUCAUCACCCAGGUAAUAAGCAUUGUAUUCGAUAGGUAGUUUUUCUAUCUCUCCCCCUUCCUUCUCCCAUGCUUCACCCUCAAGUAGGCCCUGGUGUCUGCAGGUCCCUUCUUUGCGUCCAUGUGUACUCAAUGUUUAGCUCCCACUUAUAGGUAGGAACGUGCAGUAUUUGGUUUUCUAUUCCUGCUUUAGUUUGCAUCAGAUAAUGGCCUCCAGCUCCAUCCAUGUUGCUGCAAAGGACAUGAUCUCAUUCUUUGUUAUGGCUGCAUAGUAUUUAUAUAUAUAUACACACACACACAAAAAUUAAUUUUUGAUUAAAAUAUUAGGAAGUAUAAAGUAGAUCAGUCAAAAAGAUAUGAACAUAACUGAAUAAUUCAGCCAGCCAAAUAGCACACACUGGACAAAAUUGUCUAUUCAAGGGUAAAAGCUGGACUGACAGUAAAGAAGAGUUCACAAAGCAAAAACUGUUGCUCAGAAAGAGUUAAUCAUUCUCUGAAAAAUACAAAUCUAGUCAUAAUUUCUAUGCAGAAAAAGAAUUGCACCCUUACAGAUAAACAAUACAGAUAGGUUUCUGCUUUCUUGUUUUCUAUCAAUCUAUCUGUAAUUGUGUGGCAUUGAGAAUAUGCAAAAGUAAUUGCUAGAAGAUGCAGAAUAGUUCAGAGCACAGACUCUGGUGUCAGUAAAACUUUCCAACAGUAUAAUUUACUAGCAAUGUCACUGUGGGCAUGUCACUUAAUGUUUAAACUUAAUGUUUUCUGUUCUGUAGUAGUGUAGCAGCGUCACUGUGGGUAUGUCACUUUAUGUUUAAACUUAAUGUUUUCUGUUCUGUAGUCAGGUAAUAGUAAUAGCUCUUAUUUCAUAGGAUUAUUUUCAGGAUUGAAAUGAAAAAGCCAAAAUUGACAAAUGG
rnacentral:lncRNA from 1 species